rnacentral:rRNA from 1 species
CCUACGGGUGGCAGCAGUCGAGAAUCAUUCACAAUGGGGGAAACCCUGAUGGGGCGACGCCGCGUGGGGGAAUGAAGGUCUGCGGAUUGUAAACCCCUGUCAUGUGGGAGCAAAUUAAAAAGAUAGUACCACAAGAGGAAGAGACGGCUAACGCUGUGCCAGCAGCCGCGGUAAUACAGAGGUCUCAAGCGUUGUUCGGAAUCACUGGGCGUAAAGCUUGCGUAGGCUUUUUCGUAAGUCGUGUGUGAAAGGCGCGGGCUCAACCCGCGGACGGCACAUGAUACUGCGAGACUAGAGUAAUGGAGGGGGAACCGGACUUCUCGGUGUAGCCGU